CGCAAGCCUGACGGAGCAACGCCGCGUGAGGCACGAAGGUUUUUGGAUCGUAAACCUCUUUUCUCAGGGAAGAAGUCAGUGACGGUACCUGAGGAAUCAGCAUCGGCUAACUCCGUGCCAGCAGCCGCGGUAAUACGGGGGAUGCAAGCGUUAUCCGGAAUUAUUGGGCGUAAAGCGUCCGCAGGUGGCGAUUCAAGUCUGCUGUCAAAGCACGGGGCUUAACUCCGUAAAGGCAGUGGAAACUGAAUAGCUAGAGUGCCGUAGGGGUAGAGGGAAUUCCCGGUGUAGCGGUGAAAUGCGUAGAGAUCGGGAAGAACAUCGGUGGCGAAAGCGCUCUACUGGACGGCAACUGACACUCAGGGACGAAAGCUAGGGGAGCG
rnacentral:rRNA from 1 species